CCUCUAGCCUUUGCUAGUUGGCGGGGUGAAGCCUCUAGCCUUUGCUAGUUGGCGGGGUGAAGCCUCUAGCCUUUGCUAGUUGGCGGGGAGAAUGGAAAUCACCGCUAUCUUGUGAUAGCCUUGGGUUAAUCUUAGUUUUAACAUAAUUUUAAGUCUUAACUUGCAUGCAAUUUACUUAAUAGGUGACACUUCCCCAUCGGUAGGGGAAAUGCACAAGGUAUUUUGCAUCAAAGAGGGUGUAUCACCCUUGGAGAUGCUGGGAAGUGGAGAUAUUCUUGAGAAAUUCAAGAGUUUUUUACUUCUCUACUCUACUAAGUAUCUUUAAGAGUGAGAGACUCUCAUAGAUACUGUAGAGUACAACAUUCACGCCUGGCGGUCCUUAGUUUAGUGAUAAGUUCAAUCUAUGAUUAGCAACUAUUUAUCAUCAUUUUUUGAUACUUUAAAAUUAGAGAUAUUCUUGAGAAAUUCAAGGGUUCUCUAAUGAGUAUCAUUGAGAGUAAGAAACUCUUAUUGAUACUGUCUUGUACAAACAUACACUCCUGUUGAUUCAGGUAUUCUCUUAGUUCAGUCCAAGUUAAGAUUUGUAACUGUUUAUCUACAUUAUAUAAAAUUGCUUUGUUUUGUAAGUGCUUUACAAGUUUGUUGCAGCUUAGCCUACCAAAUGAAUCCAAGUGCACCAUUGUAGAUAUUUUUUAAAAGCAGGAUUGAUGAACAACUAAACAAACAAUAUUGUGGAGAUACAUGUGAAUUAUAAUGGAGAUGCCACCAGCUAUUCAAUGCAUUGGAGAGCAGCUCUACUACCAAAGUGGAGAUGUGGAUCACUGGAUGUGGUAUGAGAUAUCUGGAAUUUAUAUUUUCAUUAGUCUAGACAGGAUAGAAUUCUCUAACACUUCCCUAUUCUAACACAGAUAUCAAGCUAGGGCCGGGAUGUUUAUGGUGGUUACUAUUAUGACACAGUUCAUCCCGACCCCUUCGGCAGUGCCUUGUUCUAUCCGGUUGGUUCUGAGUCCAAUGGGUGCUUUCAAGUUAGAGUCAACUGACCUGCAGAUCGCAUUUCCGCGUGCCAACAACUGGACGAACAUGUGCUACUGUUAGAUUGUGGUUUAUGGAUGGCUGUGGAGUAAGAAAAUCACCUUGAAUAGGGUUUGAGUUGUCAGGGUCCCUGUAGGAUAUUUGCAGUUGUCAGUCGACUAUUACAUUUCUGAUCAGUGCCCUUUGUGGUGGUGCCACAGCUUUUUCAUGAUGGUUGCGGGCUCAGUACAGCACUAAUUUGAUGAGCAGGUGGUACUGUUACACUGUGGCCUGGUCUGACUUGUUCUAUGAGACUGGCGAUGCAAAUAUUAGAUUGUAGUGCCUUCAGCAAACUUAGGGAUGGGGGUGUGAGAAUUAUCUGUCUUAAGAAUUAGAAUUAAGAAAAAUACGUUUAUAUCUGAGGCUGGAGUGAUAUUAAGUAUAGUCUCUAGCCUUUGCUAGUUGGCGGGGUGAAGCCUCUAGCCUUUGCUAGUUGGCGGGGAAGG